rnacentral:ncRNA from 1 species
UUGCAGGAAUAGAAGGGUGUAUGGUGGAUGCCUUGGAUUCAAAGAGCGAUGAAGGACGUGUAAUGGCUGCGAUAAGCUUCGGGGAGACGCCAAUGAGUCUGCGAUCCGGAGAUUUCCGAAUGAGGAAACUCUACGUGUUACGCACGUAACCUGUGUAUGCAGGAGCAAACCUUCUGAAUUGAAACAUCUUAGUAAGAAGAGGAAAAGAAAGCAAUAAACGGAAGUUUCUUUCUGGGCGGUUAACGCCUUGAGAGCAAUCUUGUGGCGUACCAUUACGCACAGGAAGAAGCUUCUUGCGAUACCCUAAGUAGCGGCGAGCGAAAAGGGCAGAGCCCAAACCAUACAUGUUUACAUGUACGGGGUUGUAGGGCGAGGUCUGCAUUUAGUUGCGGAGAGUCAAAAAUGUGUAUUAUAGAAGAAUCAUCUGGAAAGAUGAACCCUAGCAGG